UACGUAGGGCGCAAGCGUUGUCCGGAAUUAUUGGGCGUAAAGAGCUCGUAGGCGGUUUGUCGCGUCUGCUGUGAAAACUCGAGGCUCAACCUCGGGCUUGCAGUGGGUACGGGCAGACUAGAGUGCGGUAGGGGUGACUGGAAUUCCUGGUGUAGCGGUGAAAUGCGCAGAUAUCAGGAGGAACACCGAUGGCGAAGGCAGGUCUCUGGGCCAUAACUGAUGCUGAGAAGCGAAAGCAUGGGGAGCGAACAGG
rnacentral:rRNA from 1 species